CAACCAAAGCUGGCGACCGGCGCACGGGUGAGUAACACGUAUCCAACCUGCCUCAUACUCGGGGAUAGCCUUUCGAAAGAAAGAUUAAUAUCCGAUAGCAUAUAUUUCCCGCAUGGGUUUUAUAUUAAAGAAAUUCGGUAUGAGAUGGGGAUGCGUUCCAUUAGUUUGUUGGGGGGGUAACGGCCCACCAAGACUACGAUGGAUAGGGGUUCUGAGAGGAAGGUCCCCCACAUUGGGACUGAGACACGGUCCAA
rnacentral:rRNA from 1 species